AGAGUUUGAUCCUGGCUCAGGAUGAACGCUGGCGGCGUGCUUAACACAUGCAAGUCGAGCGAAGCACUUACUUUUGAUUUCUUCGGAAUGAGGAAGUCUGUGACUUAGCGGCGGACGGGUGAGUAACGCGUGGGCAACCUGCCUCACACAGGGGGAUAACAGUUAGAAAUGACUGCUAAUACCGCAUAAGACCACGGCACCGCAUGGUGCAGGGGUAAAAACUCCGGUGGUGUGAGAUGGGCCCGCGUCUGAUUAGGUAGUUGGUGCGGUAACGGCGCACCAAGCCGACGAUCAGUAGCCGACCUGAGAGGGCGACCGGCCACAUUGGGACUGAGACACGGCCCAAACUCCUACGGGAGGCAGCAGUGGGGAAUAUUGCACAAUGGGGGAAACCCUGAUGCAGCGACGCCGCGUGAAGGAUGAAGUAUUUCGGUAUGUAAACUUCUAUCAGCAGGGAAGAAAAUGACGGUACCUGACUAAGAAGCCCCGGCUAACUACGUGCCAGCAGCCGCGGU
rnacentral:rRNA from 1 species